CCCCGAAGGUAGACAAUUAACCGAUUAAGCCACCCAGGUGUCCCUACGAUUUUAUUUAUAAGUAAUCUCUACACUCAGGGUGGGCUCGAACUUACAACCCGGAGAUCCAGAGAGGCAUGCUCUACUGAUGGAGCCAGCCAGGUGCCCCAGAGACACUCUAUUCCAAGUUAGAAGAGAGAAACCUGAGGCCCAAUGGGGUACGCUAGCAGAGGUGGCCAGAGGGGGGCUGGAGAAACUGGGCAGCAUCCGGGAAGCAGAGGCAGGAAAUGUUUCGGGGUCCAGGGAAUGGUGGGCACUCGCUGAGAUGCCAGAGGCAGCAAGAAGUCAAGCGGGAUCAUUCUGCCUCGGUGAGGCUGGUCCAGGGGCAGGGCUGGUGCUGGGCCAGCGCGCGGGUGCUGUGGACGCAGGGGAGGUGAGCAAGUACAGACAGGGAGUGUUUGGCUGAGAAGUGGAAGGAACGUGCAGGGUCGUUUCAGGGAGGCGUGCGAGGGAGCGCCUAGUUCAGACCGGUGGGACUGCUGGGUCAUGAAGUCAAUGCAGGGUAAGGGAAGUCAGGGGAGCUGAUGGUGUGCUAGGCUCUAAGCUGAGCUUGGCUUUAGGGGAAAGGUCUAUGCCUGGAAGGAGCUCACAGACUCCACAUAAUGACAGAAUUCAAGGGGAAAUUAAAGUCUGAGCAUCAGAUCUAACUCUUGUUUCAACUAACAGAAACCGACUUGUUACUUUGACCCUAGACGCAAUGACUUUAGAGCCCGAGAAAGUCAGAAGGCAAUUGUGGACCCAAUUAGAUGUGGUGACCCCACCAAACGACUAUGAAAUUGUUUCAGAAUCAAAUCAGGUAUAAGUGGAUUAGCUGAGCUGGCAGAUGGACAUCAGAGUUGAGAAUUAUGUGGAGACCGCUCCUCCCAAUUCAUCCCUCAGGUGCUGCAAAAGCUAGGGCUUGGAUGAGGAAAUAUGCCCCAGUCUGGGGGCCAUUUGAACACCCCGAAGGAACCCAGACAGGAGAAGCAAGAGGUAUGGCAGAAAGCAGAGGGGAAGAACCAAGAAGAAAAUUGGGUCUACUCUUCAGCCCCUAGAGCAAACCUGACCUGAAAGUCUGCUUCUGGACUCUGGUUCUGUAAAUCAGUAAGAUCCACUUAUCGUUGAAGCCAGUUUUAGGUCUGCUUUUCUUUUUAAGAUUUUAUUUAUUUAUAUUAGAGACAGAGAGAGAAAGUGUGUGCACGGGAGCAGGGGGAGGGGUAGAAUGGGAGGGAGAGGGAGAGAGAGACU